UACGGGGGGGGCAAGCGUUGUUCGGAAUUACUGGGCGUAAAGGGCUCGUAGGCGGCCAACUAAGUCAGACGUGAAAUCCCUCGGCUUAACCGGGGAACUGCGUCUGAUACUGGAUGGCUUGAGAUUGGGAGAGGGAUGCGGAAUUCCAGGUGUAGCGGUGAAAUGCGUAGAUAUCGGGAAGAACACCCGUGGCGAAGGCGGCUCUCUGGGACGGUACUGACGCUGAGACGCGAAAGCGUGGGGAGCGAACAGG
rnacentral:rRNA from 1 species